AUAGUUACCUACCCUGGGCGACACCAGGAUCACGUAGGUGGUUUUCCGAGAGUGAGGCAAAUCCAUUGCAUUCCGGAUGUGCUAACCCCUGUGAUUUCCCCAAAUGUGGGAAAUGACUGCAAAAUCUGUGGUCGUGGGGGACUGCGUUGGUGCUUUCUAGAG
rfam:Ornithorhynchus anatinus chromosome 7, whole genome shotgun sequence.